AGGCAGAGUGUUCAAAGCAGGCAGAUCAAUUUUCUUGCCACCGAAUACAUUAGCAUGGGAUAAUGGAAUAGGACCCUGUCCUCCUAUCUUCAGUUGGUUAACUUGUGAGAGAGAUGCAGGGUGAUUGAUGA
rnacentral:rRNA from 1 species